rnacentral:rRNA from 1 species
AGAUUGAACGCUGGCGGCAGGCUUAACACAUGCAAGUCGGGCGGAAACGAAGGGAGCUUGCUCCCAGGCGUCGAGCGGCGAACGGGUGAGUAACGCGUAGGAAUCUACCUGAUAGAGGGGGAUAGCCCGGGGAAACUCGGAUUAAUACCGCAUACGCCCUACGGGGGAAAGCAGGGGAUCUUUCGGGACCUUGCACUAUCAGAUGAGCCUGCGUCGGAUUAGCUAGUUGGUAGGGUAAAGCCUACCAAGGCGACGAUCCGUAGCUGGUCUGAGAGGAUGAUCAGCCACACUGGAACUGAGACACGGUCCAGACUCCUACGGGAGGCAGCAGUGGGAAUAUUGGACAAGUGGGGCAACCCGUGAUCCAGCCAUCGCCGCGUGUGUGGAAGGAGGCCCGUUUCGGGGUUAGUAAAGGUCGUACGUUUCGAAGGUAGGGAGGAAGGCGUCGGUACGACGAAUAACGU